UCUCCUCUCAUUGUUGUGCAACUUCUCAAUCACAGAUCCAAGGUUAUAGUUUCAUCUCCAUCUCUCAACUUCAUCAUAUCAAUCAAGAAAAAAUGCUUCUGAUUUCCAUUCAUCUGCUUCAUCUCUGCUGUGAUUUCACCUGCUUCAUCUAUGAUGUUCUUGAGAAUACUCACCAACAGUGUUCUUGCAUUAUUCCUUCGACCUGCUUCUUUCCGUAUUCUUUUCUCCACAAUAUCUUCAAAGACAUUCUCACACGCUUUCUCAAAAAAUAUUUUGUUCUGUCUCAAGAACCCUAGCCAUCACUCACACCACCAUAUUUGUAGUGUGUUCUGUUCGGAUGUAUAGGCAUCGAUGAAACAAGGAACUGUGAUAUGGAAGGCCACCUAAGUAUUAACUCUUCAAGAUUCAGACCGCCAACACCACCGCAAAGACAUUCUCACAUGCUUUCUCAAAAAAUCCAAUCCUUGCCGCCCCCAACACUCCAUCUACAUCAGACCACCAACACCACCACAAACAAAGGUUCGAAUUCCCCUUUCUCACAAGAUGGAAGAUCAAAAGAAGUUUUAUGGUUAAUUUUGUAAACUAAGGGUUUAUUUUCAUUCCAAUUUCCGUUGAGCAAGUCGUCGUCAUCAAUGGCGGAUUACCAGAUUCGUUGCUAUUCGAUUCACAAUCAUCUUUGACCAUUUGACUACCCGACCAUUUUUGCAGUCUUCAGAAUGGCUGCACGUUGUAGUGGGGUCGCAACUUGAAGCACCAUUAGGAACCACCAUUGAUUCAAAAUAAUACUCGCUCAUGGUUCGACAGUUUGGCAGAUUGAGACGAGCACAAGGACCAUACAUGACUCGGGCAGCUUCAUCAUAAGCUAGGGAAGCUUCAACUGUUGACCCGAAAGUUCCAAGCCAUAAUCGACUACCUCUAUUGGGUUCUCGAAUCUCAGCUACCCAUUUACCCCAUGUUCGUUGUCUAAUACCUCCAAAAUUACACCUCAAGUUCUCAGACAUGAUUGAUAGGUACAUGUUGCUGAUGCAUCUAGCUUUGUUCAGCCAGGAAGCAU